rnacentral:rRNA from 1 species
GUGCCAGCCGCCGCGGUAAUACCAGCACCCCGAGUGGUCGGGACGUUUAUUGGGCCUAAAGCAUCCGUAGCCGGUUCUACAAGUCUUCCGUUAAAUCCAACUGCUUAACAGGUGGGCUGCGGAAGAUACUAUAGAGCUAGGAGGCGGGAGAGGCAAGCGGUACUCGAUGGGUAGGGGUAAAAUCCGUUGAUCCAUUGAAGACCACCAGUGGCGAAGGCGGCUUGCCAGAACGCGCUCGACGGUGAGGGAUGAAAGCUGGGGGAGCAAACCGGAUUAGAUACCCGCGUAGUCC